UGUCCAUUAGUGCAGAUCAACCUGUUUUUAAAAUGUGUAUUUUGUUGACCUUUUCACAGUCUCUGAAAUGACAGGUUUUGCCUCAAAAAAAUCAAACACCAUGACAAUCCACUACAGCACUAAAUGUUAUAUUAGCUGUUUCUAGUGCCUAGGCAAUGUACAAAUAGGAAGAUAGUAAGACAAGGCCUUUGGGUCAAUCUAUCAAAAAGAUUUAAAGCAUAGUCUAGACUCCAUUGAUGUCAAUGGGAGUUUUCCAACCUGACUUCAACAGAGUUAGUAUUAUAGCCAAUGCAAUACACCGAAAUUCGAUCAUGAAAGGAACUAAACUGAUUUUCUGCAAGAGAAAAGUAGUUUCUUUCUUUAUCAAAUAUAAAUUGAGGUGGACAGUCCAGGUGCAAAUGUGAUGCUUGUCUUCUUGGCCAGCCUAGGGGAUACUAAAGAGGGAUCGCGUUGGGAGGGAAUCCUGAACAAGCUAUGCUGGGCUAAGCAGAACUGUCUGGCACAGACUUGUACGCUUACCAAAGAAUUCUCAUGUGGAUUCUAUCUAUUCAGGCCAUCAUACCACAGUGUGCUCAUGAACAGUUGCAAAGUGGUUAGAGGUUACCAUCAUCCACAUGUAUGUGGGCACGCACACAAACUCACACUGCUCUACACACAGUGAAAUAAGAAUCUUGUACCUUCCCUCCUCUUAAAUGCUGUUAUCACUGAAUGUUGAAGGCUAUUUGAAUAUGCCGUUUCCCCUGCUCCUGUACAUUGAGACUCCUUUCUGUAGCCUUCUCUCCUGUCUAUAACUCCAUUGUCACCUACCUCAAUUGCAUUUCCAUUUGACAUGACAAUUACAAUUUUACACUCUGCCCUUGGACAUUGCCUGAGAAAAGCAAAGUUAAAUCCAAAUAUGUUCUUCCACUUGCACAAGUUUUUAUAUGUGGUUUAGCAAGUGGUGUUCAAUUCCCCUGCCCCCUACAGAUAAGCCUCCGAGGAAGGCUCCCUCGAGCAGAAAGAUGUUGGGCUAGCAUAGUAAUAAAUAUAUUAACGUAUAAUAAUAAGCAUCCAGCAUCCCUCAUUUUGUUUACAUCACUGGAUACUUCCCAUUUCAGCCUCUUGUGCAAGUACAAGAACCACUGUUGAACUGAUGAUAGUAUCAUACAGGCCAUUGUGCAAGUGUUUGUCGAACCACGCUAGCAGUGUUUUUUCUUCUACUCUCUGUUCUUUGGAUCCAACCCAGGAGUUUUUCAGUGAGGGAUGAUCUGGGUUCCAUUCCAAGCACACUGAAGUCGGAGCUCUGAACUAAACAAGCAUGUAGUAAUAAUAAUAACAACAGCAAUUUAUUAUUUAUACCCCACCCAUCUGGCUGGGUUUCCCCAGCCACUCUGGAUGGCUCCCAACAGAUUAAAAAUACAAUAAAACAUCAAACAUUAAAAACUUCCCUAAAUAGGGCUGCCUUCAGAUGUCUUCUAAACAUCAGAUAGUUGUUUAUUUCUUUGACAUCUGGUGGGAGGGCGUUCCACAGAGUGGGCACCACUACCGAGAAGACCCUCUGCGUGGUUCCGUGUAACCUCACUUCUCGCAGUGAGGGAACCACCAGAAGGCCCUCAGAGCUGGACCUCAGUGUCUGGGCUGAACAAUGGCUGUGGAGACGCUCCUUCAAGUACCAACACUUUGAAUUGUGGUUGUCAGUUGGGUCCUGGGAUCAGAAGCAGAUAAUUUCUGAAUUUUUAAAAACAUAAAUAGUAGCUACCAGAAUCUGCAGUUUCUUCUUCUUGAUGUGUGCUGCUUUUAACAUACAGUGGUACCUCUGGUUACAGACGCUUCAGGUUACAGACGCUUCAGGUUACAGACUCCGCUAACUCAGAAAUAGUACCUCAGGUUAAGAACUUUGAUUCAGGAUGAGAACAGAAAUCGUGCAGCGGCAGCAGCGGGAGGCCCCAUUAGCUAAAGUGGUACCUCAGGUUAAGAACAGUUUCAGGUUAAGAACGGACCUCCAGAACGAAUUAAGUUCUUAACCCGAGGUACCACUGUAUUAUUCUCAUUUCUUUGCAUUCUCUCAUUCAAAAGUGCUUUUUUUUCUCGCUGCUUUUACAUUGCUAGCAUUUAAAAAAUUUUCUCGUAGUUUAAUUUUUUUCACUUUUUCAAUUUUUUUCAUAUCUUAAUGGAUUCAUACACCUUGAUACUUUCUCCAUAUACAAUUAUUAGCACUUCAUCUGUUAGCAGCCCCAAUCUAUAUGCCCUCCCACCUCCAUACAGAUGGUCCCAGCUUCAAUCCCUGGCAUAUUUAAUUAAAAGUAGCAGGCAGCAGGUGAUGAAAAAGAUGUCUGCCUAAAACUACUGCUAGUCAGAAUAGAUAAUACUGGACUAGAUGGACAAAUACUCUGACCCGGCAUAUGACAGCUUCAGAUGUUCCUGCUUCCCUUGAAAUUUAUACACAUUUUUGCAGAGCUGAAACCAAAGCUUUCACUUUGUUGGCUCAGAAUAUGAACAUCAAAAACUUGUAGUUUCUUCCACCCACCCACAAUUCCUUCCUUCCGUUCCUUGUUCGAUCAAAACCAGAUGGGCCAGUGGGGAGAGAUAAUUUGGAGACUGACAGAUCAGUAGCCAGAAAGGAAGAGGUUUGGAGUUUCACUCAUGGCAGGGAGAAAGGAGGAAGCCAUCUUGCACCCCAAGUGAUGUCAAGGAGGAGGCAAAAUAGGAUCCAAUUUGUCUCAUGUUUGGCCUUUGCGAGUACAAAACUAUUUCCCUAAUCUAGGGAGGUGUCUAUAGGGAGGUGUCUAAAACUUCUUCAUGGUAGAGCAUAAGACUCUUCAUCUCAGGGUUGUGGGUUCAAGCCCCAUGUUAGGCAAAAGAUUCCUGCA